rnacentral:rRNA from 1 species
GACGAACCGUGCGAACGUUAUUCGGAAUCACUGGGCUUAAAGCGCGUGUAGGUGGGACGGCACGUCGGCCGCUGAAAUCCCCCGGCUUAACCGGGGAACGGGCGCCGAUACGACCGCCCUCGAGGAACGUAGGGGGAGCUGGAACUUCCGGUGGAGCGGUGAAAUGCGUUGAGAUCGGAAGGAACGCCCGUGGCGAAAGCGAGCUCCUGGACGUUUUCUGACACUGAGACGCGAAAGCCAGGGGAGCGAACGGG